CGCGUAGGCGGCCGAGCAAGGUCGCGGUGAAAGCCCGGGGCUCAACCCCGGGUCGGCCGUGGCAACUACUCGGCUCGAGCUCUGUAGGGGCGGGUGGAAUUCCGGGUGUAGCGGUGGAAUGCGUAGAGAUCCGGAAGAACACCGGUGGCGAAGGCGGCCCGCUGGGCAGGAAGAGGGAGCAAUCCCUCGGCUGACGCUGAGGCGCGACAGCGUGGGGAGCAAACAGGAUUAGAUACCCUGGUAGUCCACGCCGUAAACGAUGGGCACUAGGUGCUUGGGGGAGCGACCCUCCGAGUGUCGGCGCUAACGCAUUAAGUGCCCCGCCUGGGGAGUACGGCCGCAAGGCUGAA
rnacentral:rRNA from 1 species